rnacentral:rRNA from 1 species
UGCAAGUCGUACGCGUUGGCCCAACUGAUUUGAAGUGCUUGCACGGAUCUGACGUUGGUUUACCAACGAGUGGCGGACGGGUGAGUAACACGUAGGUAACCUGCCCAGAAGCGGGGGACAACACUUGGAAACAGGUGCUAAUACCGCAUAACAAUUCAAAUCGCAUGAUUUGAAUUUAAAAGAUGGUUUCGGCUAUCACUUCUGGAUGGACCUGCGGCGCAUUAGCUUGUUGGUGGGGUAACGGCCUACCAAGGCAGUGAUGCGUAGCCGAGUUGAGAGACUGAUCGGCCACAAUGGGACUGAGACACGGCCCAUACUCCUACGGGAGGCAGCAGUAGGGAAUCUUCCACAAUGGGCGCAAGCCUGAUGGAGCAACACCGCGUGAGUGAAGAAGGUUUUCGGAUCGUAAAGCUCUGUUGUUGAAGAAGAACGUGCAUGAGAGUAACUGUUCAUGCAGUGACGGUAUUCAACCAGAAAGUCACGGCUAACUACGUGCCAGCAGCCGCGGUAAUACGUAGGUGGCAAGCGUUAUCCGGAUUUAUUGGGCGUAAAGAGAGUGCAGGCGGUUUCUUAAGUCUGAUGUGAAAGCCUUCGGCUCAACCGAAGAAGUGCAUCGGAAACUGGGAAACUUGAGUACAGAAGAGGGCAGUGGAACUCCAUGUGUAGCGGUGGAAUGCGUAGAUAUAUGGAAGAACACCAGUGGCGAAGGCGGCUGCCUGGUCUGUAACUGACGCUGAGACUCGAAAGCAUGGGUAGCGAACAGGAUUAGAUACCCUGGUAGUCCAUGCCGUAAACGAUGAGUGCUAGGUGUUGGAGGGUUUCCGCCCUUCAGUGCCGGAGCUAACGCAUUAAGCACUCCGCCUGGGGAGUACGACCGCAAGGUUGAAACUCAAAGGAAUUGACGGGGGCCCGCACAAGCGGUGGAGCAUGUGGUUUAAUUCGAAGCUACGCGAAGAACCUUACCAGGUCUUGACAUCUUGCGCCAACCCUAGAGAUAGGGCGUUUCCUUCGGGAACGCAAUGACAGGUGGUGCAUGGUCGUCGUCAGCUCGUGUCGUGAGAUGUUGGGUUAAGUCCCGCAACGAGCGCAACCCUUGUUACUAGUUGCCAGCAUUAAGUUGGGCACUCUAGUGAGACUGCCGGUGACAAACCGGAGGAAGGUGGGGACGACGUCAGAUCAUCAUGCCCCUUAUGACCUGGGCUACACACGUGCUACAAUGGACGGUGCAACGAGCAGCGAACUCGCGAGGGCAAGCAAAUCUCUUAAAACCGUUCUCAGUUCGGAUUGCAGGCUGCAACUCGCCUGCAUGAAGUCGGAAUCGCUAGUAAUCGCGGAUCAGCAUGCCGCGGUGAAUACGUUCCCGGGCCUUGUACACACCGCCCGUCACACCAUGAGAGUUUGUAACACCCAAAGUCGGUGGGGUAACCUUUGGAGCC